GGAAAGGCCAUAGCUCUGUGGUAGAGCACAUGCUGUGCAUGCAAAAGGUCCAGGUUCAAUCCCUGACAUUUCCA